GCAAGCGUUGUUCGGAAUUACUGGGCGUAAAGGGCUCGUAGGCGGCCAACUAAGUCAGACGUGAAAUCCCCAGGCUCAACCUGGGAACUGCGUCUGAUACUGGAUGGCUUGAGUUUGGGAGAGGGAUGCGGAAUUCCAGGUGUAGCGGUGAAAUGCGUAGAUAUCUGGAGGAACACCGGUGGCGAAGGCGGCAUCCUGGACCAACACUGACGCUGAGUGAGCGAAAGCCAGGGGAGCAAACGGG
rnacentral:rRNA from 1 species